AGUUCCAUUGGAGUUCCAUUGGGUGCCAUUGGAGUUCCAUUGGAGUUCCAUUGGGUGCCAUUGGAGUUCCAUUGGAGUUCCAUUGGAGUUCCAUUGGGUGCCAUUGGAGUUCCAUUGGGUGCCAUUGGAGUUCCAUUGGAGUUCCAUUGGGUGCCAUUGGAGUUCCAUUGGAGUUCCAUUGGGUGCCAUUGGAGUUCCAUUGGGUGCCAUUGAAGUUCCAUUGGAGUUCCAUUGGGUGCCGUUUGGUGCCAUUGGGUGAUAUGGGGUUCCAUUGGGUGCCGUUGCGGUGACACUGAGUGCCCCCCCCAGGCAUCAAUGACCUCAUCCACUUCGACUUCCUGGACCCCCCCCCCCACGAGGCACUGCUGUUGGCGCUGGAGCAGCUCUACGCCCUCGGGGCCCUCAACCACCUCGGGGAGCUCACCACGCUGGGCCGGCGCAUGGCGGAGCUGCCGGUGGAGCCCAUGUUGGCCAAAAUGAUCCUCGCGUCCGAGCAGUGCGUGGCACCACUGUCCCCGUUGUCCCCUUUGUCCCCUAUGGGUGUCCCCUUUGUGUCCCCUAUGGGUGUCCCCUUUGUGUCCCCUGUGGGUAUCCCCAUUGUCUCCUAUGGGUGUCCCCUUUGUGUCCCCUA
rnacentral:lncRNA from 7 species